CCGGCAUCAUCGAAAGAAGCAAACAAUCACAAAUGGACACCGACAUCACUGCUUCAGCUAAACCAGAGUACCCGGUUCUAGAUCGGAAUCCUCCCUUCACCAAGGUCUGUGGUAAUUUCAAUAUCCUCGAUUACCUCCGUUUCGUUACCAUCACUGGAGUUUCCGUCACCGUCGGCGACCUCUCCGGAAUUUUAGGUAUAAAACCGGGACUGAAAGGUCAGGAGGGCUGAUAGGACUGAUGGGUGGUUUUAUGUACGCCUACCAGAACUCUGCUGGUCGACUCAUGGGAUUCUUCCCUAAUGAUGGUGAGCUCGCUCGGUACCAGAAAUGUGGAUUCAACAAAUAGACUUAUUUCUAUAAUCAAAGACAUUUUGGAUGAUUUAAAUGAUUUUCAAUAAUCAGAUUGCCUCUGCUCAUGUCUCUUUGUCUUGCUGCUGUAUUCAUAGAGGUCUAAGUUCCAAGUUCCCAAUGAAUUGUACUAGAGCCUUUGCUUCCUUGUUAUUGAAUUAUUUUGAGAA